AGAGUUUGAUCAUGGCUCAGGAUGAACGCUGACAGAAUGCUUAACACAUGCAAGUCUACUUGAUCCUUCGGGUGAUGGUGGCGGACGGGUGAGUAACGCGUAAAGAACUUGCCCUGCAGUCUGGGACAACAUUUGGAAACGAAUGCUAAUACCGGAUAUUAUGUGAGUUUCGCAUGAAAUUCAUAUGAAAGCUAUAUGCGCUGCAGGAGAGCUUUGCGUCCUAUUAGCUAGUUGGUGAGGUAACGGCUCACCAAGGCGAUGAUAGGUAGCCGGCCUGAGAGGGUGAACGGCCACAAGGGGACUGAGACACGGCCCUUACUCCUACGGGAGGCAGCAGUGGGGAAUAUUGGACAAUGGACCAAAAGUCUGAUCCAGCAAUUCUGUGUGCACGAUGAAGUUUUUCGGAAUGUAAAGUGCUUUCAGUUGGGACGAAGUAAGUGACGGUACCAACAGAAGAAGCGACGGCUAAAUACGUGCCAGCAGCCGCGGUAAUACGUAUGUCGCAAGCGUUAUCCGGAUUUAUUGGGCGUAAAGCGCGUCUAGGCGGUUUGGUAAGUCUGAUGUGAAAAUGCGGGGCUCAACUCCGUAUUGCGUUGGAAACUGCCAAACUAGAGUACUGGAGAGGUGGGCGGAACUACAAGUGUAGAGGUGAAAUUCGUAGAUAUUUGUAGGAAUGCCGAUUGCGAAGGCAGCUCACUGGAGCGCAACUGACGCUGAAGCUCGAAAGUGCGGGUAUCGAACAGGAUUAGAUACCCUGGUAGUCCUGGCCGUAAACGAUGGAUACUAGGUGUAGGAGGUAUCGACCCCUUCUGUGCCGGAGUUAACGCAAUAAGUAUCCCGCCUGGGGAGUACGGCCGCAAGGCUGAAACUCAAAGGAAUUGACGGGGGCCCGCACAAGCGGUGGAGUAUGUGGUUUAAUUCGACGCAACGCGAAGAACCUUACCAAGUCUUGACAUCCUGCGACGUGCAUAGAAAUAUGUAUUUCCUUCGGGACGCAGAGACAGGUGGUGCAUGGUUGUCGUCAGCUCGUGUCGUGAGAUGUUGGGUUAAGUCCCGCAACGAGCGCAACCCUUACUGUCAGUUACUACGCAAGAGGACUCUGGCAGGACUGCCGUUGACAAAACGGAAGAAGGUGGGGAUGACGUCAAAUCAUCAUGCCCUUUAUGACUUGGGCUACACACGUACUACAAUGGCGUUAAACAAAGAGAAGCAAGACCGCGAGGUGGAGCAAAACUCAGAAACAACGUCCCAGUUCGGACUGCAGGCUGCAACUCGCCUGCACGAAGUCGGAAUCGCUAGUAAUCGUGGAUCAGCAUGCCACGGUGAAUACGUUCCCGGGCCUUGCACACACCGCCCGU
rnacentral:rRNA from 1 species